GAUUAAGCCAUGCAUGUCUAAGUACGUGCCGUAUUAAGGCGAAACCGCGAAUGGCUCAUUAAAUCAGUUAUGGUUCCUUAGAUCGUACCUUACUACUUGGAUAACUGUGGUAAUUCUAGAGCUAAUACAUGCAGCAGAGCUCCGACCGUUACCGGGACGAGCGCUUUUAUUAGACCAAGACCAAUCGGGCACUCCGGUGUCCGUGCUCCGUGGUGACUCUGUAUAACUUUGGGCUGAUCGCACGGGCAAGCCCCGGCGACGCAUCUUUCAAGUGUCUGCCUUAUCAACUGUCGAUGGUAGGUCACGGGCCUACCAUGGUCGUAACGGGUAACGGGGAAUCAGGGUUCGAUUCCGGAGAGGGAGCCUGAGAAACGGCUACCACAUCCAAGGAAGGCAGCAGGCGCGCAAAUUACCCACUCCCGGCACGGGGAGGUAGUGACGAUAAAUAACGAUACGGGACUCUUAAGAGACCCCGUAAUCGGAAUGAGUACGCUCUAAAUCUCUUAACGAAGGUCUAUUGGAGGGCAAGUCAGGUGCCAGCCACCGCGGUAAUACCUGUUCCAAUAGCGUAUAUUAAAGUUGCUGCGGUUAAAAAGCUCGUAGUUGGAUCUCAGUUCCAGACGGGCGGUCCGCCUAACGGUGGUCACUGCCCGGCCUGAACAACCCGCCGGUUUCCCCCGAUGAUCUUCGUUGGUUGUCCCGGGUGACCGGCACGUUUACUUUGAAAAAAUUAGAGUGCUCAAGGCAGGCGCUCCGCCUGGAUAAUGGUGCAUGGAAUAAUGGAAUAGGACCUCGGUUCUAUUUUGUUGGUUUUCGGAACACGAGGUAAUGAUUAAGAGGGACAGACGGGGGCAUUCGUACUGCGACGCUAGAGGUGAAAUUCUUGGACCGUCGCAAGACGAACUACUGCGAAAGCAUUUGCCAAGAAUGUUUCCAUUAAUCAAGAACGAAAGUUAGAUGAUCGAAGGCGAUCAGAUACCGCCCUAGUUCUAACCAUAAACGAUGCCAACCAGCGAUCCGCCUGGGUUCCUCAAAUGACUCGGCGGGCAGCUUCCGGGAAACCAAAGUGUCUGGGUUCCGGGGGAAGUAUGGUUGCAAAGUUCAAACUUAAAGGAAUUGACGGAAGGGAACCACCAGUAGUGGAGCUUGCGGUUCAAUUUGACUCAACACGCGACAGCGUACCCGAACCGGACACUGGAAGGAUUGACAGAUUAAGAGCUCUUUCUUGAUUCAGUGGGUGGUGGCGCAUGGCCGUCCUUAGUUCGUGGAGUGAUUUGUCUGGUUAAUUCCGUCAACGGACGAGACUCGAGCCUGCUAAAUAGGCGCCCCGAUUCCUACGGUCGGGCGUUCUUCUUAGAGGGACAAGCGGCGUCUAGCCGCACGAGACGGAACAAUGACAGGUCUGUAAUGCCCCUAGAUGCUCGGGGCCACACGCGUGCUACACUGAAGGAAUCAGCGUGUGCUUUCCCUGUCCGGCAGGACUGGGUAACCCGGUGAACCUCCUUCGUGAUAGGGAUAGGGGCUUGUAAUUGUUCCCCUUGAACGAGGAAUUUCCAGUAAGCGCGAGUCAUAAGCUCGCGUUGACUACGUCCCUGCCCUUUGUGCACACCGCCCGUCGCUAAAUCCGAUGAAAGGUGGGGUGAGGUCUUCGGACUGGCGCCCGGGGUGGUCUCCGGCCGCGCCGACGCGCCCGGGAAGAUGACCGAACUUCAUCGUUAGAGGAGUUAAAAGUCG
rnacentral:rRNA from 1 species